rnacentral:rRNA from 1 species
GGCGAUCAGAUACCGCCCUAGUUUUGACCGUAAACGAUGCCAACUAGCGAUCCGCCAGUCGACUCAUCGCUCUGGUGGGGAGCUUCCCGGAAACGAAAGUCUUCCGGUUCCGGGGGAAGUAUGGUUGCAAAGCUGAAACUUAAAGGAAUUGACGGAAGGGCACCACCAGGAGUGGAGCCUGCGGCUUAAUUUGACUCAACAUGGGGAAACUCACCCGGCCCGGACACCGUAAGGAUUGACAGAUUGAUAGCUUUUUCAUGAUUCGGUGGAUGGUGGUGCAUGGCCGUUCUUAGUUCGUGGAGCGAUUUGUCUGGUUUAUUCCGAUAACGAGCGAGACUCUGGCCUACUAAAUAGUUGACGCAUUGCCACUGUGCGCACAACUUCUUAGAGGGAUUUUCGGUGUUUUCAACCGCACGAAAUUGAGCAAUAACAGGUCUGUGAUGCCCUUAGAUGUCCGGGGCUGCACGCGCGCUACACUGGCAAACGCAACGUGCCUGUCCUGCCCCGAAAGGGGUUGGUAAACCGAUGAAAAUUUGCCGUGAUUGGGGAUCGGACAUUGCAAUUAUUGUCCGUGAACGAGGAAUCCCUUGUAAGGGCGAGUCAUCAACUCGUCCUGAAUAACGUCCCUGCCCUUGUA